ensembl:lncRNA
CAAAAAACCGAGGGAACACUUGAACAAUUUUUAACUUCUAAAAUUUCGAAUCCAACCCUCAAAGUGUUGGUGAUUUUGAUUACACAAUGGAUGUCAGUAAUGAUUUUCAAACUGAAUGUUUCAUUAAUCAAGGUCUGAUUUUAAGUGUCACCUUAUUUUUAUUUUUAAAGCAGCAUACUUUUGGCUGACUCUUCUGCACACUUUUACUUUUUUUUUCUUUCUUUCUUUUUUUUCUGUUUCAUCCCCAACCAUAUGCUAAGGAUGCUUCGCUCAGGAAACGUAUAGAAAAGCCCCAUUACUCAUGAACGCGGUUCUUUUUAUACUGAUAUCUACCAUGUGUCAUGAUUCCUCUCCAUGUAACUUUUUGGAUUCCCUAAAAGAUUUGGCAUCGUGGGGUUUGACUUCAGUGAGGAAGAAGUUGUCCAAGACUUUUUGUUUUGUUUUUAAUAGCCGUCCAUUUAAAAUGAUAAAUGACUGUACAAUGGAAUACAUGCUGUUUACCUUUUUUAAAUUUCCUUUAAAGUCUCAGUCUGCAUAGGUACAGUAUGUGGCUGGGAACUGUUUAAUCAAAUGCAAGUUUGUGUCCACUGAAACAACAGGCGAGACUGACAAUGCAUGACCCCGAACACUGUAGCUGUUGACCUUUUUUUUUUUUUUUUUUUUUUUUUUUUUGUUUGUUUGUUUUUAGUGAAUGCCAUGGUAUUUCAGCAGUGUUUCAGCUCAUCUGAGUUGACAGAGUUUAUACUGAAAAAUGCAAUAUGCAUGUUUGUCUUUUUUUUUUCUUUUCUUUUUUUUUUUCCCCAAGUUUUGUUUUAAACAAAAUAUUAGUCUAGCGUUUUUGUUUUUUUUUAUUUUUGUUAUAUUUACGUAGAUACACUAUAAUAGCCUGUUUGCCAAAUUUGAAACAAUAAUGAUGUGAUAAACUGAAUAUUUCUGGUGGAAUUGAACAUCUCUUUAUUUUUAAGGAAAAUGGUUAAUUGGAAAUUCCAGGACACUUGUGAAAGCAGUUGAAUGUAUAUCUUUGUACAAAACUAUUUUAGUUCCAAGGAUAAGGUAGUUACAAUAGAUGUGAAAGAUAACCUUUUUUAUAAAUUUUUUGUAUUAGAACAUUAACAUUGAUAAUUUUGUAUAUAUGAGACACUAGGCUUUCUGACUAGCAGAAAGGUCAAACAUUCCUACAUUUUUUUUUUAAAUGUACGUUUGUCAGAUUAUUACAUAAACAUGCGCAAUGUUAUGUGCCUUUUAUUUGGGUUGUCUAAAUAAAAGAAAACUAUCAAAUGUGUUUAUGUAUUAAGUAUAGUUCAAAGUUAAUACAGCACUGUAACUACAAACAUAUCAGGAUCUUAAUGAAACUUAUAACCCUCCGUGCUGCUGAUUAUCCUUUCC